AAAUUAAUUUCGAGCCUAAAUUUAGGCUCAAUCUCGGCUUGAAAUUAAUUUAAGCCGAGCUCGAGCGAGCCUAACUUCGAGUUGAGCGAGCUCGAGCCCUAACCGAGCCACUUGAAAUUCUUAAUAUCGUGCAAUCUAUAGUUUAAUUUUUAUAAUACAUUAUAUAAAAUUCGAUACAAAAAUAUCUAAUAGUUCAACAUACAAAAAUGAAUGCAUGAAUAUGAUAUUAUAAUAUUAAAAAAAAUUAGAAAAAGUAACUCUGUGAGCGAGUGAAAAAAAGAGAGAGAGAGAGGGAGCAAUUAGAGUAGGAUUUUGCUGGUUUGGUUUUGUGGGCCCAAUAAUCUAAAUUCUAUAUACAUAUAAUUAAGAUACAUAAUAUAUAUUAUUUUAUAUAAUUAAAAUAUAUAUUAUAUGUAAUUAUAUAUAAAGAGAGUUCGACCACUGUACUCUUAUUAGUAUAGACUUUUUUAUAUUCAUAAGUUUUCGACCGUUAGAUCUAUACUUUUGACCAUUUCUAUCUAUAAAUCAUACUAUCCAUCCACCCAUUCAAUCCUAGGGAUCACUAUCAUCCUAAGAGUAUAGUAGCCCUAUCCUAUAUAUAUUAAUAGUACUAACCGCUUGUUAUUAGGUUUUCGACCCUUGUAUGAAAGGAUGUGUAGUCAGGAUGAUAGUAGCCUACUAGGGUUGAGGAGGUGGCUAGUUGAAUAGUAUGAUUUAACGGAUGAAAAUCGCCAAAGGGGUAGAUCUAACGGCAGAAAACUCGAUAGCACCAAACACUUAAUACUAUCAAUAGCAUAGUAGCCGGACUUUAUAUAUAUAGAUCGAUCUAAUGGCAGAAAACUUGAUAGUACAAAACGAUUGAUACUAUAGAUAAUAUAAUAGUCGGACUAUAUAUAUAUAGAGAGAGAUAUAGAGUCCGGCUACUAUAUUAUCGAUACUACCAAAUAUUUAGUACUAUCGAAUUUUGUGCCGUUAGAUCUACUUCUUUGACCAUUUUCACCUAAUAGAUCAUACUAUUCAACUAACCACCCACUCAAUCCUAGGGGAUCACUAUCAUCCUAACCGCACAUUCCUUCAUCCAAGAGCCGAAAACCUAAUAGUAAGUGGUUGGUACUAUUAAUAAUAUAGUAGACUAUAAUAUAUAUAUGCUUUUCGAGUCUAAUUCGAGCGAGUCCGGUAAUAAUCAAGCUCGGCUUGAAAUUAAUUUCGAGCCUAAAUUUAGGCUCAAAUUCGAUUUGAAAUUAAUUCGAGUCGAGCUCGAACGAGCUGAAUAUCAAGCCG
rnacentral:lncRNA from 1 species